rnacentral:lncRNA from 1 species
UACUUUAUUUUUCUCUCUUCUGUACCUAAAACUGAUCAGUUUUAGGUCACCAGUUUUACAUAUAUUGUUGGAGAUGCUCUAAGGAAUCAACAAGGUGAACUUUUUUUUUUGAAAAGGGAACAAGGUGAACUUUGAUGCGUUCCCAAAUAAACACACAUGUACCAAAUCUGCACCGUAAAUGCGAGUUCGACGAAAACAAUGAUUCCCCUUUUUUUUUUCUGUGUUUCCCUCUCGACACCAAUGGCGUGUACAAUCGACAAGUUUUGGUAUGAC